UAAAUAUUGGUCCAUAAGUCGCAAGCUCGAACCAAUCAAAGCUAUAAAGAGUUGGUCAAUCUCGUGCCAGCCACCGCGGUUAUACGAGUGACACGAAUUAAUAUUUCACGGCGUUAAGGGUGAUUAGAGAUAUUAUCUUACCCAAAAAUAAAGUUAAGAUCCCACUAAGCUGUCAUACGCUCCCAUGCUUGGAAAAAUCACCCACGAAAGUAACUUUAAAAAAACAGAACUCUUGACCUCACGACAGUUAAGACCCAAACUAGGAUUAGAUACCCUACUAUGCUUAACCAUAAACAUCGCUAUACAAAUUUUACCUUAUUAUAACCGCCUGAUUACUACAAGCGCUAGCUUAAAACCCAAAGGACUUGGCGGUGCUCCACCCACCUAGAGGAGCCUGUUCUAUAACCGAUAAUCCACGUUCAACCUCACCACAUCUUGCCACUCCCGCCUAUAUACCGCCGUCGUCAGCUCACCCUGUGAAGGUUUAACAGUAAGCAAAAUGACCUUUCCUCAACACGUCAGGUCGAGGUGUAGCGAAUGAUGUGGGAAGAAAUGGGCUACAUUCUCUUUCAGAACACCACGAACAGAAAUAUGAAAAAUUUCUCAAAGGUGGAUUUAGCAGUAAGUGAACUUUAGAAUACUACACUGAAACCGGCUCUGGAGCGCGCACACACCGCCCGUCACUCUCCUCAAAAAUCAUCAACAACUUACAUAAAAAAAAAUNCCAACAAGAGGAGGCAAGUCGUAACAUGGUAAGUGUACUGGAAAGUGCACUUGGAUUAAC
rnacentral:rRNA from 1 species